CAUUGGCUCAACCAANGUAUGCUUUGGAAACUGUUAGACUUGAGUGCAGAAGGGGAGAGUGGAAUUCCAUGUGUAGCGGUGAAAUGCGUAGAUAUAUGGAGGAACACCGGUGGCGAAAGCGGCUCUCUGGUCUGUCACUGACGCUGAGGCUCGAAAGCGUGGGUAGCGAACAGGAUUAGAUACCCUGGUAGUNCACGCCGUAAACGCUGAGUGCUAGGUGUUAGGUCCUUUCCGGGACUUAGUGCCGACGCUAACGCAUUAAGCACUCCGCCUGGGGAGUACGACCGCAAGGUUGAAACUCAGAGGAAUUGACGGGGGCCCGCACAAGCGGUGGAGCAUGUGGUUUAAUUCGAAGCAACGCGAAGAACCUUACCAGGUCUUGACAUCCCGAUGCCCGCUCUAGAGAUAGAGUUUUUCUUCGGAACAUCGGAGACAGGUGGUGCAUGGUUGUCGUCAGCUCGUGUCGUGAGAUGUUGGGUUAAGUCCCGCAACGAGCGCAACCCUUAUUGUUAGUUGCCAUCAUUAAGUUGGGCACUCUAGCGAGACUGCCGGUAAUAAACCGGAGGAAGGUGGGGAUGACGUCAAAUCAUCAUGCCCCUUAUGACCUGGGCUACACACGUGCUACAAUGGUUGGUACAACGAGUCGCAAGCCGGUGACGGCAAGCUAAUCUCUGAAAGCCAAUCUCAGUUCGGAUUGUAGGCUGCAACUCGCCUACAUGAAGUCGGAAUCGCUAGUAAUCGCGGAUCAGCACGCCGCGGUGAAUACGUUCCCGGGCCUUGUACACACCGCCCGUCACACCACGAGAGUUUGUAACACCCAAAGUCGGUGAGGUAACCAUUUAUGGGGCCAGCCGCCUAAGGUGGGANGGAU
rnacentral:rRNA from 1 species